UAUGAAGGGGACUAGCGUUGUUCGGAAUUACUGGGCGUAAAGCGCACGUAGGCGGAUUUGUAAGUCAGGGGUGAAAUCCCGGGGCUCAACCUCGGAACUGCCUUUGAUACUGCAAAUCUCGAGUCCGAUAGAGGUGGGUGGAAUUCCUAGUGUAGAGGUGAAAUUCGUAGAUAUUAGGAAGAACACCGGUGGCGAAGGCGGCCCACUGGAUCGGUACUGACGCUGAGGUGCGAAAGCGUGGGGAGCAAACAGG
rnacentral:rRNA from 1 species